rnacentral:misc_RNA from 1 species
GAAAAAAAAAAAAAAAAAAGGCUUCAUCUCUGAACUUUGAGAAUGGUUUCAUCAUUGUCCCUUAAGUUCAAUUAUCACAAAAAUAUUCAAACUUUAAUAUCAACAUACGACAUUGAGUCUAGAAGUUAAUAGACAAAAAAAUAAAAUAUAAAAAAUUAAAAUCAACAUAGGCAUAAAAUCUAGAGGUUGAUAGACAGAAAAGUAAAUUGUAAAAAUUUAAAAUCAAUAUACGA